rnacentral:lncRNA from 1 species
UCUCAAUAUGCAUCCCCUGUACCGUAUAUUUUCUCUUUUGUCUCUAAAAUCCUUUACUCAAUCCAUCUUCUUCUCCCUGAAGUGGUUCUUCGAUUCCUUUUAUUGAAUAAUGAUUUUCUUCGAAAAAUUAAAAUGAAAAUAUCCUUGCUUCUCAUGAUGCAACCAUUACCCGCAAAAUACCAUUUUACAUUGUUCCAUAUUCUAGAAAUAUUUCCAAUUUGAAUUUGCAGCACCAUUACACAAGAACCUUAACUAUUCCUCGUCUAAGUUCUCUGAUCAAUUGGAUCAAUGAUUCUUAAACUUAAUUGACAUAUUAUUCUUCCUAAUAUGCCAUGAUUAAAACAUCUUCCAAGUCGGUCAUUAAAAGCCGAAUUUGUAGUAGUGGCAAAGAACAAGGGAAAGGGGUAGAGGCAGAAAAAACAUAUGAUGUAGUGGAUACAUUGUAAGAUAUGAUGGUCAUCCAAAAUCUAAUGGUUCAUAUAAAAUUAAAUAUUUGGUCUUUUGUGGAUCACCUUUUUUG